CACAACAUUAUCCUACUGAACAACUUCUUGCCCAACAAGAAGACUCACUGCUUCACAAGAAGUGCAGACAUCUGGGUUUUUUUCUCAGCCAAGAACAGAGACAGAACACUUGUUCCCUGUUCUCAUCUCCUGCUUGCCAACCACUCUGAGGAACAAGUCCAAAACAACUCAAGCUGUUGUUGACCCCACUUACCCCUCCUGACAGCAGGGGCAGGAGGUGCAAACCUCUACCUGCUCUUCAGCUGUUCCACUUCAAAGGCUUAUUAAUGCCGUGGGUCUACCUUCCUCAGCAGUUUAAGAUUAGCUGCAAUGUCAUUGUGGCAAUGAAGGUAUAUGAGCCCAUCCCCCCACCAUCCUUGUGCUGGAGAGUAGAAGGGUGGAGCAAAUAGCUGGAGAGUUUUUAAAACACCGACGCAAGAUUCAUCAGCACCCACAAGCCAGAGCCCAUGAAGCAGCACCCAGACUUAAAAGCAUUUCUCCCUGCCACAGGCACCAAUGAAUUAACAGGAAUCUGCAAGUAAUCCCCUGCAUUACACACUGAUAAACAUGUCACUUGUGAAUGUAUCAGCAGAG